UAAUACGAACCGUACGAACGUUAUUCGGAAUCACUGGGCUUAAAGAGUGCGUAGGCGGCCUAGCAAGUUGGGUGUGAAAUCCCUCGGCUCAACCGAGGAACUGCGCCCAAAACUGUUAGGCUUGAGGGAGGCAGAGGUGAGCGGAACUAAUGGUGGAGCGGUGAAAUGCGUUGAUAUCAUUAGGAACACCGGUGGCGAAGGCGGCUCACUGGGUCUCUUCUGACGCUGAGGCACGAAAGCUAGGGGAGCGAACGGGAUUAGAUACCCCGGUAGUCCUAGCUGUAAACGAUGAGCACUAGGUUGUGGGACCUUCCACAGUUUCACGACCGUAGCGAAAGUGUUAAGUGCUCCGCCUGGGGAGUAUGGUCGCAAGGCUG
rnacentral:rRNA from 1 species